GUCUUUAGUGGGUCACUAAGCCCAGUCCCUGCUCCAUGGGAGGGGCUUAUGUGAUGAUGUGAAUACCAGAAGGUACCUCUCAAUGGUGGCCAUCUUGGAGACUGGCUAUCACAGGGACACCGAGCUAAUGAGCCCAAGAGCACGUGCUGCUGCUGGAAGGGGCCGGCACAGAGCGGUUCAGGCUGCUGGCUCCCCCCGCCCUGCCCUGCAGUUCCGGGGGUCUCGUUGUAGUUUGAGCCUCCGCCCGUCCUCCAGGCUGUCAGCGAAGACUGCAGGUGGCCUCCCUGGAGACCCCUCCCCGUUCGCUGCUGCUAACAGCUUAGCAAGCAGAGGACCGGCACUGCCAGUCUGAGUGCAGAGGAAGAGCCAGCGGGCGCUCCGGGAGGCCUCAGAGGCUUUUUGGACAAUAAAGGGUAUGGCAACUGGGUAUCCACUUGGUGGCC
rnacentral:lncRNA from 1 species